GUCCAACAUAGCUCAGUAGGUAGAGCAUGAUAUUCUUAAUCUCAGGGUUGUGGGUUCAAGCCCCAACUUGGGCA